UUAAUAUUUUUUAGGUGCCAAAUGCAACCUAAGGCUCGAGGAACGGGGGUGUUCCAUAGAUGUGUUGUGCAAAGUACCAGGAGGCCAAUCUGCCAGCAAUCAGAAUUUGUGAAGAGGGCAAAUGGGAAGUCGCAGUAAGGGCAACUACACAAACCCAUGUCUCACGUUGCAUCAACCAUGGGCUUCAUUGUUGGUUUAUGGUAUUAAGCGCGUCGAAGGACGAUCGUGGCCUGCUCCUCUCAGAGGCCGACUCUGGAUUCAUGCUGCUAGUAAGGUCCCCGAUUCAGACACAAUCAAAGCAAUGGAGAAUUUCUACAGGGAGAUCUAUGCUGUGAAUGGGAUAACAGACCUCAAGUUUCCAGAACAUUACCCAGUUUCAAGACUGUUAGGUUGUGUUGAAGUAGUUGGUUGUGUUAAAUGUGAAGAGCUGGCGUGCUGGAAGGAGGUACCUGAAGGGGUAAGGCUAGAAGCGCAAACAGAGUUUUGCUGGCUCUGUGAGCAACCACAGAAAUUAAUCAUACCAUUUGAGAUGCGCGGGUACCAACGUAUUUAUAACCUGGAAAGAAAAAUAUAUGAGGCAGCAGUUAGGGGUCUUCGUCCUGUUCAAGCUCCACUACCUGUCAAGUUUCUGCUUCCAGAACCACAAGAUCCUUUCUCUUUGAAACCAGGAUCACUUGUUUCUUGCUUUGAUGGCUCUAAAGCUGCUGAAGACAAGAAACCAGAAGGUCUCCUUGCAGCCAUAGCUGGUGCACGAGCAGCUGCCACACAGUUCUCAAAGAAUGAUAAUCACCAAUCCAUAACAAUGCAAGGACAAGAUGCAGAUGUUUCCACAAGAACAAGGGAAGAAUCCGAGGAAUUUGAGAAGCUGGAUAGUGAAUUAAUUAAGAGGGCUGAUGCCAAAACACAAAGAAAUGCAGAAUAGCAACAUGGGAUCUGAAGGAACUUACCACUUUGGGGCUGGUGGAGAUUUUCACUUUGUUCCCUAAGGCAGUGACAAUAUGAGUGGCAUAUGAUUGCAGGGAGAAGUAAUUCAAAGUCAGUGACAAUAUGAGUGGUGUAUGAUUCCUGGGAGAAGUAAUUCAAAUCUUAAAGCCUGUGGAAUUGAUACCUGCUUUAUUUAAUUUUAAUGUGAACAUAUGUGAAUACUGGUUGUUGAAGACUCUGGGAAACCCACACGACCUUUGUGACUUACUUUCAAGGUUCUGAUCUCCUUAGCAACUGAAGGUUAAGUAGAUACUGGAAUGGAGAACAAGAGGCCAAGUGUGAUCACACUGUACUGAUCUUCACUUUCAACCAUGGAAUCCAGGUAGGUGGUGUAGCCAAUUGUCAAACUUUUCGACUCAGUGGCAUGGAAAUAGACCAAAUCAAACAGUCACCCAAGAGAGACAAUAACAUUAUUUUGAAAAUAUUAGGAGGAAGGUCCUAUAUAGAUCAUAUGCAUAAAUACACGUCCCCUUGAGAUAUAGUCUCCAACCCAUUAUAAGAGGCCACUCCUAUCUUCUAGUCUUCAUCAUCAGAUCCCAAAUAUGGCUCACACAUACUUGCUAGUGCUGUUCCUUGGGGUGAUGAUUCUCUCCACUGCCUCUCUUGCUGAUUACCACAAGCCUCCUGUGGGAGAGGAGCCACCACCUGAAAAAAGGCCACCACCUUAUGGUCACUACCCUGGGCCUUCUGGUAGAGAAUGCCAAAGAUUCACACAAGUUUCCCAAUGGAGGGAAGUUUCCCAAGGAGAAUGCUGAGUUGCAUGGGAAAUUUGAAAGGAUGAAACCUGGACAUCCAGAUUAAGACGAAAUCAACUCCUGAGACAAGCUGCCUAGACUACACAAGGCACCCCAAGCCUCUACCACCUAACUAUUCCAACUUGAUAUGAGUAAUAUGUAGAAAGAAAAGCUGGAGUCUCACAUCUUCUCUCUUCUAAUUUAGUGUUCUAUGGAACAGGUAAUACUACUAGUAUUGGGGAAUGUUUCAUACGUCUAACACUCAUUUUAGUGCUUGUAGGUUGCUUGUAGCUUAUGAGCAUGUGGGGCUUUAUCUGAUAUCUGUGUAUGACAGUGAGCAAAAUCCAAUAAUAAGUCAUGUGGAUGUUGGAAUAGAAACCAAGAUGCCAAGAGGGUUGCAAUCCAGGGAUCCACCCUUUUUAACUCUGGAGCCCAGGAGGUAGGUGCAUUUAUCCAACUGUGCAACUCAAUGGCAUGCAAAUGGUCACCCAAGAGAAAAGAUGUUCCUUUGAUGUGUUUCCAGAUUAAAUCUAUGAAAUCCCACAUUGGUGAGGGGAAGACGUUCUUUUAUAUGUAUAAAAGUUGCUUUUUUUUUACAUGGAAGAGAGUCGAUCCAACAUCAGUUGCCUUUUCUUGACUUGUAAGAACCAGUAAAACUUGUGUGAAUAAACUGAAAUGGAGCAAGCAGGGUUGGGGUUAUGCA